GGUUACUGCUAUCGGUGUUCGCCUAAGCCAUGCGAGUCAUAUGUUCUUCGUGAACAUGGCGUACUGCUCAGUAACACGUGGAUAACCUGCCCUUGGGUCCGGCAUAACCCCGGGAAACUGGGGAUAAUUCUGGAUACCGCAUAUCUGCUGGAAUGCUUUAUGCGUAAAAUGGAUUCGUCUGCCCAAGGAUGGGUCUGCGGCCUAUCAGGUAGUAGUGGGUGUAACGUACCUACUAGCCAACGACGGGUACGGGUUGUGAGAGCAAGAGCCCGGAGAUGGAUUCUGAGACAUGAAUCCAGGCCCUACGGGGCGCAGCAGGCGCGAAAACUUUACAAUGCGGGAAACCGUGAUAAGGGGACACCGAGUGCCAGCAUCAUAUGCUGGCUGUCCAGGUGUGUAAAAUACACCUGUUAGCAAGGGCCGGGCAAGACCGGUGCCAGCCGCCGCGGUAACACCGGCGGCCCGAGCGGUGAUCGUGAUUAUUGGGUCUAAAGGGUCCGUAGCCGGUUUGGUCAGUCCUCCGGGAAAUCUGACGGCUUAACCGUUAGGCUUUCGGGGGAUACUGCCAGGCUUGGAACCGGGAGAGGUAAGAGGUACUACAGGGGUAGGAGUGAAAUCUUGUAAUCCCUGUGGGACCACCUGUGGCGAAGGCGUCUUACCAGAACGGGUUCGACGGUGAGGGACGAAAGCUGGGGGCGCGAACCGGAUUAGAUACCCGGGUAGUCCCAGCCGUAAACGAUGCUCGCUAGGUGUCAGGCAUGGCGCGACCGUGUCUGGUGCCGCAGGGAAGCCGUGAAGCGAGCCACCUGGGAAGUACGGCCGCAAGGCUGAAACUUAAAGGAAUUGGCGGGGGAGCACAACAACGGGUGGAGCCUGCGGUUU
rnacentral:rRNA from 1 species